AUGAACGCUAGCUACAGGCUUAACACAUGCAAGUCGAGGGGCAGCAUGAACUUAGCUUGCUAAGUUUGAUGGCGACCGGCGCACGGGUGAGUAACACGUAUCCAACCUGCCGAUGACUCGGGGAUAGCCUUUCGAAAGAAAGAUUAAUACCCGAUGGCAUAGUUCUUCCGCAUGGUAGAACUAUUAAAGAAUUUCGGUCAUCGAUGGGGAUGCGUUCCAUUAGGUUGUUGGCGGGGUAACGGCCCACCAAGCCUUCGAUGGAUAGGGGUUCUGAGAGGAAGGUCCCCCACAUUGGAACUGAGACACGGUCCAAACUCCUACGGGAGGCAGCAGUGAGGAAUAUUGGUCAAUGGACGAGAGUCUGAACCAGCCAAGUAGCGUGAAGGAUGACUGCCCUAUGGGUUGUAAACUUCUUUUAUACGGGAAUAAAGUGAGGCACGUGUGCCUUUUUGUAUGUACCGUAUGAAUAAGGAUCGGCUAACUCCGUGCCAGCAGCCGCGGUAAUACGGAGGAUCCGAGCGUUAUCCGGAUUUAUUGGGUUUAAAGGGAGCGUAGGCGGACGCUUAAGUCAGUUGUGAAAGUUUGCGGCUCAACCGUAAAAUUGCAGUUGAUACUGGGUGUCUUGAGUACAGUAGAGGCAGGCGGAAUUCGUGGUGUAGCGGUGAAAUGCUUAGAUAUCACGAAGAACUCCGAUUGCGAAGGCAGCCUGCUGGACUGUAACUGACGCUGAUGCUCGAAAGUGUGGGUAUCAAACAGGAUUAGAUACCCUGGUAGUCCACACAGUAAACGAUGAAUACUCGCUGUUUGCGAUAUACAGUAAGCGGCCAAGCGAAAGCGUUAAGUAUUCCACCUGGGGAGUACGCCGGCAACGGUGAAACUCAAAGGAAUUGACGGGGGCCCGCACAAGCAGUGGAGUAUGUGGUUUAAUUCGACGCAACGUGAAGAACCUUACCAAGUCUUGACAUCCCUUGACGAUGCUGGAAACAGUAUUUCUCUUCGGAGCAAGGAGACAGGUGGUGCAUGGUUGUCGUCAGCUCGUGCCGUGAGGUGUCGGCUUAAGUGCCAUAACGAGCGCAACCCUUAUCGAUAGUUACCAUCAGGUGAUGCUGGGGACUCUGUCGAGACUGCCGUCGUAAGAUGUGAGGAAGGUGGGGAUGACGUCAAAUCAGCACGGCCCUUACGUCCGGGGCUACACACGUGUUACAAUGGGGGGUACAGAAGGCAGCUACACGGCGACGUGAUGCUAAUCCCUAAAGCCUCUCUCAGUUCGGAUUGGAGUCUGCAACCCGACUCCAUGAAGCUGGAUUCGCUAGUAAUCGCGCAUCAGCCACGGCGCGGUGAAUACGUUCCCGGGCCUUGUACACACCGCCCGUCAAGCCAUGAAAGCCGGGGGUACCUGAAGUGCGUAACCGCAAGGAGCGCCCUAGGGUAAAACUGGUGAUUGGGGCU
rnacentral:rRNA from 1 species